rnacentral:rRNA from 1 species
CCUACGGGUGGCUGCAGUGGGGAAUAUUGGACAAUGGGCGAAAGCCUGAUCCAGCCAUGCCGCGUGUGUGAAGAAGGCCUUCGGGUUGUAAAGCACUUUCAGUGGGGAAGAAAGCCUUGGGGCUAAUACCCUCGAGGAAGGACAUCACCCACAGAAGAAGCACCGGCUAACUCCGUGCCAGCAGCCGCGGUAAUACGGAGGGUGCGAGCGUUAAUCGGAAUUACUGGGCGUAAAGCGCGCGUAGGCGGUCUGAUAAGCCGGUUGUGAAAGCCCCGGGCUCAACCUGGGAACGGCAUCCGGAACUGUCAGGCUAGAGUGCAGGAGAGGAAGGUAGAAUUCCCGGUGUAGCGGUGAAAUGCGUAGAGAUCGGGAGGAAUACCAGUGGCGAAGGCGGCCUUCUGGACUGACACUGACGCUGAGGUGCGAAAGCGUGGGUAGCAAACAGGAUUAAUACCCGGGUAGUC